rnacentral:rRNA from 1 species
GACGAACGCUGGCGGCGUGCUUAACACAUGCAAGUCGAACGGAAAGGCCCUUCGGGGUACUCGAGUGGCGAACGGGUGAGUAACACGUGGGUGAUCUGCCCUGCACUUCGGGAUAAGCCUGGGAAACUGGGUCUAAUACCGGAUAUGACCUUGGGAUGCAUGUCCUUUGGUGGAAAGCUUUUGCGGUGUGGGAUGGGCCCGCGGCCUAUCAGCUUGUUGGUGGGGUUAAGGCCUACCAAGGCGACGACGGGUAGCCGGCCUGAGAGGGUGACCGGCCACACUGGGACUGAGAUACGGCCCAGACUCCUACGGGAGGCAGCAGUGGGGAAUAUUGCACAAUGGGCGCAAGCCUGAUGCAGCGACGCCGCGUGAGGGACGACGGCCUUCGGGUUGUAAACCUCUUUCAGCACAGACGAAGCGCGAGUGACGGUAUGUGCAGAAGAAGGACCGGCCAACUACGUG